GCAGCCGCGGUAAUACGGGGGAUGCAAGCGUUAUCCGGAUUUAUUGGGUUUAAAGGGUGCGUAGGCGGUCUGUUAAGUCAGCGGUGAAAUUUAGGGGCUCAACCUCUACCGUGCCGUUGAUACUGGCAGGCUGGAAUGCGGAUGCCGUGGGAGGAAUGUGUGGUGUAGCGGUGAAAUGCAUAGAUAUCACACAGAACACCGAUUGCGAAGGCAUCUCACGAAUCCGCGAUUGACGCUGAUGCACGAAAGCGUGGGGAUCAAACAGGAUUAGAUACCCC
rnacentral:rRNA from 1 species